rnacentral:rRNA from 1 species
CUACGGGUCGCUCCAGUGGGGAAUAUUGGGCAAUGGGCGCAAGCCUGACCCAGCAACGCCGCGUGAGGGAUGAAGGUUUUCGGAUCGUAAACCUCUGUCGGGAGGGAAGAAGUGGGUAUGGUAUAAUACAUCAUGCCUUUGACGGUACCUCCAGAGGAAGCACCGGCUAACUCCGUGCCAGCAGCCGCGGUAAUACGGAGGGUGCGAGCGUUAUUCGGAAUUACUGGGCGUAAAGCGCGCGUAGGCGGCAAGGUAAGUCAGAUGUGAAAGCCCACGGCCCAACCGUGGAACUGCAUUUGAAACUGCUUAGCUGGAGUACGGGAGAGGAUAGCGGAAUUCCCGGUGUAGGAGUGAAAUCCGUAGAUAUCGGGAGGAACACCAGUGGCGAAGGCGGCUAUCUGGCCCGUAACUGACGCUGAGGUGCGAAAGCGUGGGGAGCAAACAGGAUUAGAUACCCUCGUAGUC